GCUCUCGUAGCUCAGGGGUUAGAGCGGUCGAUUGCAGAUCGACAGGUCCCUCGUUCAAAUCGGGGUGGGAGCU
rfam:Pyronema omphalodes CBS 100304, CBS100304, WGS project CATG01000000 data, contig: Pcon_v1_contig175